rnacentral:lncRNA from 1 species
GGGCUCCCCAUAGGGAAUAAUAACGGUAAAUAGGGUUUACCGCUACUAUCGGCACCGAGACUUUACCCGAUUUACGUGAUUUUUGAACCAUAGCCGUAUUUCACCAUUCUGAACACAUCUUAUUUCACUAGAUUUUUGAUAAUUUUUCUUCCUAUAUAGAGUUGGUUCACAAAGUUGUAUAACCUACUAAACAAGUUAGACAACAUUAGUAGACAUGUUGUGAUUCCGAUGACUAAAAUUCACAAACCAAAAUUCGAUCGUCAGAUAUGAUCAUUAUGACGAAAGAUGUCUAUGGUAAAAAAUUCAACUGGAUCCGACAACGUUAAGGACUCGAUCGAAACGGGUAACCCUAAUCCAUCGUCACUUAUCACACGAAAACGCUCAUAUCUCCCUCUAUAUUACGUGGUUUGGUCAAACCUUCCACACAAAAAACUCUCACGUAGAUGAGACGCAACUGCCCAUAUAAAAAUUUUGAGACAUUUACCUUCCAACGAUACGGCUCCUCAUAAGGAAUAAUAACGGUAAAUAGUAGACACGUUGUGAUUUCGAUGACUAAAAUUUACAAACCAAAAUUCGACCGUCAGAUAUGAUCAUUAUGACGAAAGAUGUCUAUGGUAAAAAAUUCAACUGGAUUCGACAACGUUAAGGGCUCGAUCGAAACGGUCAACUCUAAUCGAAAAUAAGAAAACUGCAUUUUGAAGCCCUAAACGGACUCGGAUGACCAAAAAGGCCCAUACAUCAUGGCAUUAGCGAUGAGUUUGGCUUGUAGGGCCGUUACGCUUCCGGAAAGAUAUCACAAUAGUCAAUCAGACACCAAAAACCAAAUCUGCAGCAUAGUGAAUAAUAAGGGUAAAUUGCAUUGACCGCAACUAUUGGCACCGAGACUUUACCAGAAUACCGUGAUUUUUCAACUGUAAACGUAUUUCACCAUUCUGGUCAUAUCUUAUUUCACGACUUUUUUGCGUUUGAAGGUUCUACGUAUAGUUUUUUUUUUCCCAGAUGAGUUGUUGUCCAGAUCUGCAAAUAUAAGGCACUUUAGCUGACGAAAUUAAGACACUUUAGCCGACGAAUUAUAUUUUUCGUCGGCUUAAACUUUUAAAAAUU